rnacentral:rRNA from 1 species
GAGUUGUAUUUGUAGAGGAUGUUUCGGGCGCGGCGCCGGUCUAAGUCCCUUGGAACAGGGCGUCACAGAGGGUGAGAAUCCCGUAUGUGACCGGCGACCAACCCCAUGUGAAACCCCUUCGACGAGUCGAGUUGUUUGGGAAUGCAGCUCAAAAUGGGUGGUAAAUUUCAUCUAAAGCUAAAUACCGGCCAGAGACCGAUAGCGCACAAGUAGAGUGAUCGAAAGAUGAAAAGCACUUUGGAAAGAGAGUCAAACAGUACGUGAAAUUGUUGAAAGGGAAGCGCUUGCAACCAGACCUGUCCGCGGGCGUUCCACCUCCGUUCUCGGGGGCCCACUCGCCCGCGAUCAGGCCAGCAUCGGCUCGGGCGGCCGGAUAAAGGCCUUGGGAAUGUAGCUCCCCCCGGGGAGAACUUACAGCCCUCGGUGCAAUGCGGCCAGCUCGGACCGAGGACCGCGCUCGGCUAGGAU